rnacentral:rRNA from 1 species
CAUUGGAGAGCAAGCCGGCCGGCAGUCAUGCCAGGCCGGCAGACCCUCCAACCAAUGCAAACCGGGAGAGUGGUUGUAUCCUCCAGCGGAGCGCGGCCAUAUGGCUGCCUCGGAUCCGGCACCCCUGUGCGGGACCCGAGAGCCUCCGCUGGAGGAUCCCCGCAAAAUCUUAUCUGGGCAACACGUAGACGUAAAGCAAGCAAAACUUUCAACAACGGAUCUCUUGGCUACCGCAUCGAUGAAGAACGCAGCAAAAUGCGAUAAGUAAUGUGAAUUGCAGAACCUAGUGAAUCAUUGAAUCUUUGAACGCACAUUGCGCUCGGAAUCCCUUCCGAGCAUGCCUGUCUGAGCGUCAUUUCAAUCCAUCCGGGCCCCGUGCCCGGGCGCUUGGGGCCGGCAUUCGCAAGUCUGUCCUCCUAGAAAGCACCAGUCUGAUCCUGCCUUUCUGUCAGCAGAGCAACACGAGCAUCGGAGAAACAUCGCGAGUGCAGCGCCUGCUGAUGGUACGGCCCAAGACCCCGUCCGGGGGGAGGAGAUAACACACCAAGAUUGACCUCAGAUCAGGUAGGGAUACCCGCUGAACUUAAGCAUAUCAAUAAGCGGAGGAAAAGAAACCAACAGGGAUUGCCUCAGUAACGGCGAGUGAAGCGGCAAACUAGCUCAAAUUUUAAAGCCGGCAGCAGUGCCCGCGUUGUAAUUUGUAGAGGAUGCUUCGGCGUGGUCUGCCGGUCGAAUCACCUUGGAACAGGAAGUCAUUGAGGGUGAGAACCCCGUCUCUGUCCGGGCAGGCCCGCCAGACGUAGCUCCUUCGACGAGUCGAGUUGUUUGGGAAUGCAGCUCAAAACGGGUGGUAAAUUUCAUCCAAAGCUAAAUAUCUGCGGUAGACCGAUAGCGCACAAGUAGAGUGAUCGAAAGAUGAAAAGCACUUUGAAAAGAGAGUUAAACAGCACGUGAAAUUGUUGAAAGGGAAGCGCUUGCGACCAGACCUGACCCUGCCGGUUCGGCCAUUCGGUUGGCUUACUCCGGCAUCUUCAGGCCAGCGUCGUCCGGGAUAGAUGGACAAAGGCGGGAGUA